UACAGAGGGGGCAAGCGUUGUUCGGAAUUACUGGGCGUAAAGGGCGCGUAGGCGGCCUGCUAAGUCGAACGUGAAAUCCCUGGGCUCAACCCAGGAACUGCGUCCGAUACUGGUUGGCUUGAAUCCGGGAGAGGGAUGUGGAAUUCCAGGUGUAGCGGUGAAAUGCGUAGAUAUCUGGAGGAACACCGGUGGCGAAGGCGGGUCUCUGGGCCGAUACUGACGCUGAGGAGCGAAAGCGUGGGGAGCGAACAGG
rnacentral:rRNA from 1 species